rnacentral:rRNA from 1 species
AACGAACGCUGGCGGCGCGCCUAAUACAUGCAAGUCGAGCGAGAAGACGUAGCAAUACGUUUGUAAAGCGGCGAACGGGUGAGGAAUACAUGGGUAACCUACCCUCGAGUGGGGAAUAACUAGCCGAAAGGUUAGCUAAUACCGCGUACGCUCCUUGGACUUCGGUUCAGGGAGGAAAGCGAUACCGUGGGUAUCGCGCUCUUGGAUGGGCUCAUGUCCUAUCAGCUUGUUGGGAGGUAACGGCUCACCAAGGCUUCGACGGGUAGCUGGUCUGAGAGGACGAUCAGCCACACUGGCACUGCGAC